rnacentral:sRNA from 1 species
CGCCCGUCAAACCACGAAAGUGAACAAUACCCAAAGCCGGUGGCCUAACCCGAAAGGGAGGGAGCCGUCUAAGGUAGGGUUCAUGAUUGGGGUUAAGUCGUAACAAGGUAUCCCUACGGGAACGUGGGGAUGGAUCACCUCCUUUCUAAGGAGAAAGGCUUACUAAUAAUAAGCAAAAAUAGCUUAGUAGCAUAAGCUAAACAAUUUCUUCAUGUUCAUCAUAUUCAGUUUUGAGAGACUUAUGUUUCUCCAAUUAAACAGUGGGGCCUGUAGCUCAGUUGGUUAGAGCACACGCUUGAUAAGCGUGGGGUCGAUGGUUCAAGUCCAUUUAGGCCCACCAUUAAAAAAUUAGGGGCUUUAGCUCAGCUGGGAGAGCGCCUGCCUUGCACGCAGGAGGCCAGCGGUUCGAUCCCACUAAGCUCCACCAAUUAGGCUAAAUACCUAAUGAGAUCUUUGAAAAGUAGAUAAAUGAUGUCAGAAAUGAUUAAAAAAGGUUAAGGAAGAAAGGGCAUGCAGUGGAUGCCUUGGCACCAAGAGGCGAUGAAGGACGGAACUAACACCGAAAUGCCGGGAGUAGCUGUAAGUAAGCGACGAUCCCCGGAUGUCCGAAUGGGGGAACCCACCAUGUGGAAGACAUGGUACAGUCGUAAGACUGAGCGACACGCAGGGAAUUGAAAUAUCUCACGUACCUGCAGGAAAAGAAAGUAAAAACGAUUCUGUCAGUAGCGACGAGCGAACGCGGAGGAGCCAGAUAACUAAGGUUACAAAAUCAUAUCAUAGGUGAACGACUUGGGAAGGUCGGGCAUAGAGGGUGAUACCCCCGUAAUCGAAAUGGUAUGAUCCAUGUUAUCAAAAAGUAGGGCGGGACACGAGAAAUCCCGUUUGAAGAUAGGGGGACCAUCUCCUAAGGCUAAAUACUACUUGGUGACCGAUAGUGAACCA